AUACACCACCCAUGAAGAGAACCUGGUGGACCUUGCUGUGCUGCUUGGUGGUGAUGUUUCUCAGCAGCAUGACAAAUGCCAGUUAGAGGGUUCUCCUCCCAGGUUCCCCACUCCAACCCAUGUGACCUCAGGGUUGGGCCCUUGAUAUUUCUACUGGAUACCUUAUUUUGUCCAUUCUUGGCUCUGGUCUCAGCUGUACAAGUGUUGGAGUUUUCCUUGACAAAGAGGCACCAGAGAGCAUGUGCAGCUACGGUUUCCAUUUGCAAUGCAGAUCUCCUCUUCCUGCCAGCAGCAUCCAGCACACCUGGAGGCUGCACACCCUGAGGUCACUGUGUGGGUCACAGACAUCCUCUUCCUGAGGAUGCCCAGCAUAUAGCACUGGAGUUACAAUUGUGCAUGGCCAUGCAUGGCUUGCACAUGGCUGCUAGCAAUAGAACUCAGGGCCUAAUGCUUACACAGCAAUGAGUCUAUCAACUGAGCCAUCUUCCUAGCUGUCGUGAAGUCGAGGAAUCAGGAGCCUAGUAUGGACAGUGCUCACGUUUUCUUGCCCUUCCCCUUCAGAGUAACUUCUGACCAUCUGUUGUCAGCAAGGAAGUGGAGGCGAACCAUGUGGCUAAGAAUAGGUGGGGUUUAACAAAGCUGAAGGCACCAGGAGGACAGCAUGGGGCUCUGAUGGGACUUCCAAGCAUGCUCAGUGAACAGAUAGCUUCUGGACAGAAUCUACUGACUGGCCCAGUGGUGGACGGACAGAAGUUCCGAGCUUUCCAGGCACCAGAACUGAAGGAUAGGCUGCCAUUCCUGAAGAUGUGGACUUUGAGUGGACCAGCAGCUAGUUAAGUCUUCAACAAACAGCGCAGCUGGCUGUGCACACCCAAGCAUGGCAUCCGGGUUCCUGGAGAGGGGC